rnacentral:rRNA from 1 species
UACGUAGGGUGCAAGCGUUACUCGGAAUUACUGGGCGUAAAGCGUGCGCAGGCGGUGAUGUAAGACAGAUGUGAAAUCCCCGGGCUCAACCUCGGAACUGCAUUCGAUACUGCUUUGCUGGAGUACUGGAGAGGAGAUUGGAAUUUACGGUGUAGCAGUGAAAUGCGUAGAUAUCGUAAGGAAGACCAGUGGCGAAGGCGGAUCUCUGGACAGUUACUGACACUGAGGCACGAAGGCCAGGGGAGCAAACGGG